CCCAAGGGUGGUGGCACCAGGUGAUGGUCCCCAAGGGGUGGUGGCACCAGGGUGACACUCCCAGGGGUGGUGGCACCAGGGGAUGGUCCCCAAGGGGUGGUGGCACCAGGGUGACACUCCCAGGGGUGGUGGCACCAGGGGAUGGUCCCCAAGGGGUGGUGGCACCAGGGUGACACUCCCAGGGGUGGUGGCACCAGGGGAUGGUCCCCAAGGGGUGGUGGCACCAGGGGAUGGUCCCCAAGGGGUGGUGGCACCAGGGGAUGGUCCCCUAGGGGUGGUGGCACCAGGGGAUGGUCCCCAAGGG